rnacentral:rRNA from 1 species
UAGUCCACGCCGUAAACGAUGUCAACUAGCCGUUGGGAGCAUAUAAGCUCUGAGUGGCGCAGCUAACGCGAUAAGUUGACCGCCUGGGGAGUACGCCGGCAACGGUAGAACUCAAAGGAAUUGACGGGGGCCCGCACAAGCGGUGGAGCAUGUGGUUUAAUUCGAUGCAACGCGAAAAACCUUACCUACCCUUGACAUCCUCAGAACUUGUUAGAGAUAACUUGGUGCCUUCGGGAACUGAGUGACAGGUGCUGCAUGGCUGUCGUCAGCUCGUGUCGUGAGAUGUUGGGUUAAGUCUCGCAACGAGCGCAACCCCUAUCGUUAGUUGCCAUCAUUCAGUUGGGCACUCUAGCGAGACUGCCGGUGAUAAGCCGGAGGAAGGCGGGGAUGACGUCAAGUCCUCAUGGCCCUUAUGGGCUGGGCUACACACGUGUUACAAUGGCAGAUACAGUGGGCAGCUACACCGCGAGGUGAUGCUAAUCCCC